rnacentral:rRNA from 1 species
UGAAGCGACAAAUGCCCUGCUUCCAGGAAAAGCCUCUAAGCAUCAGGUAACAUCAAAUCGUACCCCAAACCGACACAGGUGGUCAGGUAGAGAAUACCAAGGCGCUUGAGAGAACUCGGGUGAAGGAACUAGGCAAAAUGGUGCCGUAACUUCGGGAGAAGGCACGCUGAUAUGUAGGUGAAGCGACUUGCUCGUGGAGCUGAAAUCAGUCGAAGAUACCAGCUGGCUGCAACUGUUUAUUAAAAACACAGCACUGUGCAAACACGAAAGUGGACGUAUACGGUGUGACGCCUGCCCGGUGCCGGAAGGUUAAUUGAUGGGGUUAGCGGUAACGCGAAGCUCUUGAUCGAAGCCCCGGUAAACGGCGGCCGUAACUAUAACGGUCCUAAGGUAGCGAAAUUCCUUGUCGGGUAAGUUCCGACCUGCACGAAUGGCGUAAUGAUGGCCAGGCUGUCUCCACCCGAGACUCAGUGAAAUUGAACUCGCUGUGAAGAUGCAGUGUACCCGCGGCAAGACGGAAAGACCCCGUGAACCUUUACUAUAGCUUGACACUGAACAUUGAGCCUUGAUGUGUAGGAUAGGUGGGAGGCUUUGAAGUGUGGACGCCAGUCUGCAUGGAGCCGACCUUGAAAUACCACCCUUUAAUGUUUGAUGUUCUAACGUGGGCCCCUUACCGGGGUUGCGGACAGUGUCUGGUGGGUAGUUUGACUGGGGCGGUCUCCUCCUAAAGAGUAACGGAGGAGCACGAAGGUUGGCUAAUCCUGGUCGGACAUCAGGAGGUUAGUGCAAUGGCAUAAGCCAGCUUGACUGCGAGCGUGACGGCGCGAGCAGGUGCGAAAGCAGGUCAUAGUGAUCCGGUGGUUCUGAAUGGAAGGGCCAUCGCUCAACGGAUAAAAGGUACUCCGGGGAUAACAGGCUGAUACCGCCCAAGAGUUCAUAUCGACGGCGGUGUUUGGCACCUCGAUGUCGGCUCAUCACAUCCUGGGGCUGAAGUAGGUCCCAAGGGUAUGGCUGUUCGCCAUUUAAAGUGGUACGCGAGCUGGGUUUAGAACGUCGUGAGACAGUUCGGUCCCUAUCUGCCGUGGGCGCUGGAGAACUGAGGGGGGCUGCUCCUAGUACGAGAGGACCGGAGUGGACGCAUCACUGGUGUUCGGGUUGUCAUGCCAAUGGCACUGCCCGGUAGCUAAAUGCGGAAGAGAUAAGUGCUGAAAGCAUCUAAGCACGAAACUUGCCCCGAGAUGAGUUCUCCCUGACUCCUUGAGAGUCCUGAAGGAACGUUGAAGACGACGACGUUGAUAGGCCGGGUGUGUAAGCGCAGCGAUGCGUUGAGCUAACCGGUACUAAUGAACCGUGAGGCUUAACCUUACAACGCCGAAG